GGCUCUGUAGCUCAGCGGUUAGAGCACGCCUCUCAUAAGGGCGGGGUCGGUGGUUCAAGUCUACCCAGAGCCA
rnacentral:tRNA from 1 species